ensembl:lncRNA
UUCCAUUUGUUUUAUGCUUACUUUUCUUUUUAGUUUUUGUGAAUGUAACAUUUGUUUUGAUUUGUGGUUGCCCUGUUUUUUAAGUUUGUUAACCUCUUCCUGUAUCUGCUUGCUUUAACUUGAUAAUCAAAUAGGCUCAAACACAUUAUAUUAAAAAAAAGUCUAUAUUGCCUUACUUUCCUUCCCUGCAUUCUAUGAUUUUUAAGUCCUUUUUUAACAUCUUCACAUUUGUCCUUUUGCUGUUCCUUGUGUUUAUCAUAGCUUUUGUAUUAAUUUUUUUUCCUCUUUUAGAUCUGUACGCUGGCUUAUUUAAAUGAUUGCUUUCCAAUUGUGGUUUCCUCCAUUCUAUUUCUUCUCACUUCUUUUUUUAUUUAGAGAAGUCCUUUCAGUAUUUCUUUUAGAAUGGGUUUAGCACUGCUAUAAUCUUUUAGCUUUUGUUUGUUGGAGAAAUUAUUUCCCCUCCUAUUUUAAAUGAUAUUCUUGCUGGAUAGAGUACUCUAGGCUUCAGAUUUUUUCCUUUCAAAACUUUAAAUAUAUCUUGCCAUUCCCUCCUGGCCUGUAGUGUUUCUGUAGAGAAAUCAGCUGAUAGCCUUAUGGGGGUUCCCUUAUAAUUAAUGCUUUGCUUUUCUCUUGCUGCCUUUAGAAUCCUCUCUUUAACUUUUACCAUUUUUAUUAUAAUAUGUCUUGGUGUGGGCCUGUUUGGGUUCAACUUUUUUUAGGGCCCCCUGUGCUUCCUGUAUCUUGAUAUCAGUUUCCUUUAGAUUUGGGACGUUUUCAGACAUAAUUUAUUCAAAUAUAUUUUCAAUCCCCUUUUCUUUUUCCUCUCCUUCUGGAAUUCCCAUUAUGUGUAGAUAGGCCUGCUUUGUAUUCUCCCAUAGAUCUCUUAUGUUGCUUUCGUGUUUUUUCAUUUGGUUUUCUGUCUGCUGUCCUGAGUGGGUCAUUUCCAUUAUUCUAUCUUCUGAGUCACUAAUUUGUUCCUCUGCAUCAUUCAUUCUGCUCUUUCGUGCCUUUAGCUGACUUGGCGUCUCUGCAAACGAAUUUUCUAAUUUUUCUAUGUUCCUCCUUAUAUUUUCUAGUUCCUUUCUAAAGGAAUCUGCAAUACUGUUCAUAUCCGCUCUUAAUUCCUUGAUAUUCAGCCUUAAUUCCUUCAGUAUUUUCACUGUCUCCCUUUUGAACUCAAUGUCUGUCAGACUGCAGAGGUCCGUUUCAUUGCUUGCUGCUUCUGGUGAAUUCUCUUGUUCUUUUAACUGGGAAUGGUUCCUGAGCUUCUUCAUCUUGCUUAUGUUUUUCUUCUUCUGUGAGUUCAGGGAAGCCAACCUGUAGUCUUGGAGGGCUACUUCUAUGUAAGAGCACCUCCUUGUAUUUUUUGGGGGGUAACUAUUUAUUUUUGGUGUGGGAGUUUGAAUAUUUGCUGUCUCUUUCUUUGGUGUGAGCAGGCUGUUAUCCCCAGGGUGCUGAGUGUGUUUCCAGGGAGAAGGAGGCAGUGGGUAGGGCUAGUCGUCAGUGCUUGGUUGCUGGGCUCUUCACAGCAGCAAGGACCUGCAGGAAGGUGGCACAGGCUACUCCUCGUUGCAGGGCUCUAGGAAGUGGAAAUGAGGCUUGGGCAGAUUUACAAGGUGCCAGAGCAUCUGGCAGUGGCAGCAGCAGGAUGUGAGUUCCCAGGGUAGUGAGAGCAACAAGAGGUAGUGUUUGAUUACAGUGCCCUCCUCUGAGGUGACUGGAACCACAAGUGGUGCCUGUUCAGGGACCCCUA